rnacentral:rRNA from 1 species
CAGUAGCCGCGGUAAAACCGAGGGUGCGAGCGUUAAUCGGAAUUACUGGGCGUAAAGCGUGCGUAGGUGGUGGUUUAAGUCCGUUGUGAAAGCCCUGGGCUCAACCUGGGAAUUGCAGUGGAUACUGGGUCACUAGAGUGUGGUAGAGGAUAGUGGAAUUUCCGGUGUAGCAGUGAAAUGCGUAGAGAUCGGAAGGAACAUCUGUGGCGAAGGCGACUAUCUGGGCCAACACUGACACUGAGGCACGAAAGCGUGGGGAGCAAACAGGAUUAGAUACCCCUGUAGUCCCUGUCUCUUAUAC